rnacentral:rRNA from 1 species
UUAAGUUACUAAGGGCACAUGGGGGAUGUCUUGGCAUGAACAGGCGAUGAAGGACGUGAUAAGCUGCGAUAAGCUACGGGGAGUUGCACAAAGACUGUGAUCCGUAGAUUUCCGAAUGGGGCAACCCGGCAAGUUGAAGACUUGUCAUCUCGAAAGAGAAGCGAACCCAGGGAACUGAAACAUCUAAGUACCUGGAGGAAGAGAAAACAAUAGUGAUUCCCUGAGUAGUGGCGAGCGAAAUGGGAACAGCCCAAACCAAAAAGUUUCCGGAUUUUUUGGGGUUGUAGGACUCACAUAACGCGACUACUAAUCCAAAUUGAAGUCGUCUGGAAAGCGACACCAUAGAAGGUGAUAGUCCUGUAAGUAUAAGAAAAGUAGCGUAGUGAGAUUCCUGAGUACCACGGGACCGGAGAAAUCCUGUGGGAAUCCGCCAGCACCAUCUGGCAAGGCUAAAUACUCGUUCAUGACCGAUAGUGUACCAGUACCGUGAGGGAAAGAUGAAAAGAACGCUUAGUAAGCGAGUCAAAAGUACCUGAAACCAUGUGCCUACAACCAGUCGGAGCCCCUAUGUGGGGUGACGGCGUGCCUUUUGCAUAAUGAGCCUACGAGUUGCGCUUGACUGGCAAGGUUAAGACCUUAAGGGUUGAAGCCGAAGCGAAAGCGAGUCUGAAUAGGGCGUAUAGUCAGUUGAGGCAGACGCGAAACCGGGUGAGCUACCCAUGACCAGGAUGAAGUAGUGGUAACACACUAUGGAGGUCCGAACCAGUGAACGUUGAAAAGUUCUUGGAUGAGUUGUGGGUAGGGGUGAAAGGCCAACCAAACCCGGAAAUAGCUCGUUCUCCCCGAAAUGUAUUUUGGUACAGCGUCGUAUUAGUGUACGGAAGGUAGAGCACUGAUAAGGCUAGGGCCCUUCGCAGGGUACCAAACCUUGACAAACUCCGAAUGUCCGAUACAUGGUGUACGGCAGUGAGGGCACGGGAGAUAAGUUCCGUGUCCGAGAGGGAAAGAACCCAGAUCAUCAGCUAAGGUCCCUAAGUACAAACUAAGUUGAACAAAGGAUGUUCGACUGCUUAGACAACUAGGAUGUUGGCUUAGAAGCAGCCAUUCAUUUAAAGAGUGCGUAAUAGCUCACUAGUCGAGCGGUUGAGCGCCGAAAAUAAUCGGGCAUCAAGUUUGUCACCGAAGCUAUGGGCUUCUUUUAAGAAGCGGUAGGGGAGCAUUCCAGCGACGCAGAAGUCGUAAGCGUGAGCUACGGUGGAGUUUCUGGAAACGAAGAUGUAGGCAUGAGUAACGAUAAGACGGGCGAAAAACCCGUCCGCCGUAAGCCCAAGGGUUCCUGAUCAACGUUAAUCGAAUCAGGGUUAGUCGGGUCCUAAGGUGAGGCCGAUAGGCGUAACCGAUGGAAAACAGGUUAAUAUUCCUGUACCACCCAAAAACGUUAACUUAAGGCGGGACACAACCGUGUAGCAUCCGCGAACAGACGGAUGUUCGUUGAAGCCGUGUAGGGCGUAGCGUAGGCAAAUCCGCGCUGCAAUAGCCUGAGCGUUGCGACAGUAGCUGGAAUCUUCGGAGGAUGGCAUAGUGGUGUAAAGCGGUUGUCUAGAAAAGCGUCGUAAGUUGUUUAGGGUGUCCGUACCGUAAACCGACACAGGUGGGCGAGGAGAGUAUCCUCAGGCGCUCGAGUGAUGUACGGCUAAGGAACUCGGCAAAUUAGCCCCGUAACUUCGGGAUAAGGGGCGCCCCCCCACAUAUAAAAGCGUGAGGGGGCCGCAGUGAAAAGAUCCAGGCGACUGUUUAACAAAAACACAGCUCUCUGCUAAAUCGCAAGAUGACGUAUAGGGAGUGACACCUGCCCGGUGCUGGAAGGUUAAUUGAGGUGCUUAGCGCAAGCGAAGGUGCUGAUCGAAGCCCCAGUAAACGGCGGCCGUAACUAUAACGGUCCUAAGGUAGCGAAAUUCCUUGUCGGGUAAGUUCCGACCUGCACGAAUGGCAUAAUGAUGGGGGCGCUGUCUCCAGCAGAGGCUCAGUGAAAUCGAAAUCGCCGUGAAGAUGCGGUGUACCCGCGGCUAGACGGAAAGACCCCGUGAACCUUUACUGCAGCUUGACAUUGAACUUUGAUCUUACUUGUGUAGGAUAGGUGGGAGGCUUUGAAACCGAGACGCUAGUUUCGGUGGAGCCAAUCUUGAAAUACCACCCUGGUAAUAUUGAGGUUCUAACUCUGUCCCGUGAUCCGGGACGAGGACCAUGUCUGGUGGGUAGUUUGACUGGGGCGGUCUCCUCCUAAAGAGUAACGGAGGAGUACGAAGGUGCGCUCAGACCGGUCGGAAAUCGGUCGUAGAGUAUAAAGGCAAAAGCGCGCUUGACUGCGAGACAGACACGUCGAGCAGGUACGAAAGUAGGUCUUAGUGAUCCGGUGGUUCUGUAUGGAAGGGCCAUC